UACGGGGGGGGCAAGCGUUGUUCGGAAUUACUGGGCGUAAAGGGUUCGUAGGUGGCCAACUAAGUCAGACGUGAAAUCCCUCAGCUCAACUGGGGAACUGCGUCUGAUACUGGUUGGCUUGAGUGCAGGAGAGGAAUGCGGAAUUCCAGGUGUAGCGGUGAAAUGCGUAGAUAUCUGGAGGAACACCGGUGGCGAAGGCGGCGUCCUGGACCAACACUGACACUGAGGAGCGAAAGCCAGGGGAGCAAACGGG
rnacentral:rRNA from 1 species